GUCCGACGCGGUUACCCCGCAAGGGGUAACUGAGUGGCGAACGGGUGAGUAACACGUGGGUGACCUACCUUCGAGUGGGGGAUAACGUCCCGAAAGGGACGCUAAUACCGCAUAACAUCCCGCCUUUGAACAGGCGGAGAUCAAAGCCGGGGAUCGCAAGACCUGGCGCUUGAUGAGGGGCCCGCGCCUGAUUAGCUAGUUGGUGGGGUAAUGGCUCACCAAGGCGACGAUCAGUAUCCGGCCUGAGAGGGCGGACGGACACACUGGGACUGAGACACGGCCCAGACUCCUACGGGAGGCAGCAGUGGGGAAUUGUUCGCAAUGGGCGCAAGCCUGACGACGCAACGCCGCGUGGGGGAUGAAGGUCUUCGGAUUGUAAACUCCUGUUGCUCGGGACGAACAGCUCCGACCUAAUACGUCGGAGUCUGACGGUACCGAGUGAGGAAGCCCCGGCUAACUCUGUGCCAGCAGCCGCGGUAAUACAGAGGGGGCAAGCGUUGUUCGGAAUUACUGGGCGUAAAGGGCGCGUAGGCGGCCUGCUAAGUCGAACGUGAAAUCCCUGGGCUCAACCCAGGAACUGCGUCCGAUACUGGUUGGCUUGAAUUCGGGAGAGGGAUGUGGAAUUCCAGGUGUAGCGGUGAAAUGCGUAGAUAUCUGGAGGAACACCGGUGGCGAAGGCGACAUCCUGGACCGAUAUUGACGCUGAGGCGCGAAAGCCAGGGGAGCAAACGG
rnacentral:rRNA from 1 species